rnacentral:rRNA from 1 species
UACGUAGGGGGCAAGCGUUGUCCGGAUUUAUUGGGCGUAAAGAGCGUGUAGGCGGCCAUACAGGUCAGCUGUGAAAACUCGAGGCUCAACCUCGAGACGUCGGUUGAAACCGUAUGACUAGAGUCCGGAAGAGGAGAGUGGAAUUCCCGGUGUAGCGGUGAAAUGCGCAGAUAUCGGGAAGAACACCGGUGGCGAAGGCGGCUCUCUGGGACGGUACUGACGCUGAGACGCGAAAGCGUGGGGAGCGAACAGG